AUUGAACGCUGGCGGCAGGCCUAACACAUGCAAGUCGAGCGAGCGGCGGACGGGUGAGUAAUGUAUGGGGACUUCCCGAUAGAGGGGGAUCACUACUGGAAACGGUAGCUAAUACCGCAUACUAUCGGAUAACCCAUAUGGGAUUAGCUAGUAGGUGAGGUAAUGGCUCACCUAGGCGACGAUCCCUAGCUGGUCUGAGAGGAUGAUCAGCAACCCUGGGGAUGGGACACGGCCCAGACUCGUACGGAGGCAGCGGUGAGGAAUAUUGCACAAUGGGCGCAAGCCUGAUGCAGCCAUGCCGCGUGUAUGAAGAGGGCCAUAGGGUCGUAAAGGACUUUCAGUCGGGAGGCGUUACCGAAAGAAGAAGCACCGGCUAACUCCGUGCCAGCAGCCGCGGUAAUAC
rnacentral:rRNA from 1 species